GCGGCAGGCUUAACACAUGCAAGUCGAACGGGCCCUUCGGGGUCAGUGGCAGACGGGUGAGUAACGCGUGGGAACGUGCCCUUCAGUUUGGAAUAACCCAGGGAAACUUGGGCUAAUACCGGAUACGCCCGCAAGGGGAAAGAUUUAUCGCUGAAGGAUCGGCCCGCGUCUGAUUAGCUGGUUGGUGAGGUAAUGGCUCACCAAGGCGACGAUCAGUAGCUGGUCUGAGAGGAUGAUCAGCCACAUUGGGACUGAGACACGGCCCAAACUCCUACGGGAGGCAGCAGUGGGGAAUAUUGGACAAUGGGCGCAAGCCUGAUCCAGCCAUGCCGC
rnacentral:ncRNA from 1 species